rnacentral:rRNA from 1 species
GACGAACGCUGGCGGCGUGCCUAAUACAUGCAAGUAGAACGCUGAAGCGAGGAGCUUGCUCUUCUUGGAUGAGUUGCGAACGGGGGAGUAACGCGUAGGUAACCUGCCUUGUAGCGGGGGAUAACUAUUGGAAACGAUAGCUAAUACCGCAUAACAAUGGAUGACACAUGUCAUUUAUUUGAAAGGGGCAAUUGCUCCACUACAAGAUGGACCUGCGUUGUAUUAGCUAGUAGGUGAGGUAACGGCUCACCUAGGCGACGAUACAUAGCCGACCUGAGAGGGUGAUCGGCCACACUGGGACUGAGACACGGCCCAGACUCCUACGGGAGGCAGCAGUAGGGAAUCUUCGGCAAUGGGGGCAACCCUGACCGAGCAACGCCGCGUGAGUGAAGAAGGUUUUCGGAUCGUAAAGCUCUGUUGUAAGUCAAGAACGAGUGUGAGAGUGGAAAGUUCACACUGUGACGGUAGCUUACCAGAAAGGGACGGCUAACUACGUG